rnacentral:rRNA from 1 species
GACGAACACUGGCGGCGCGCCUAACACAUGCAAGUCGAACGAGCGAGAGAGAGCUUGCUUUCUUGAGCGAGUGGCGAACGGGUGAGUAACGCGUGAGGAACCUGCCUCAAAGAGGGGGACAACAGUUGGAAACGACUGCUAAUACCGCAUAAGCCCACGGUGCCGCAUGGCACAGAGGGAAAAGGAGCAAUCCGCUUUGAGAUGGCCUCGCGUCCGAUUAGCUAGUUGGUGAGGUAACGGCCCACCAAGGCGACGAUCGGUAGCCGGACGGAGAGGUUGAACGGCCACAGUGGGACUGAGACACGGCCCAGACUCCUACGGGAGGCAGCAGUGGGGAAUAUUGCACAAUGGGGGAAACCCUGAUGCAGCGACGCCGCGUGGAGGAAGAAGGUCUUCGGAUUGUAAACUCCUGUUGUUGGGGAAGAUAAUGACGGUACCCAACAAGGAAGUGACGGCUAACUACGUG